rnacentral:lncRNA from 1 species
UUUGGAGAAUAGCAUAUAAGAGCUGUAAACAGAGGUUGAUUGUCCGAGCUUUCUUAACCCAAUUUAGCUUGCUUUUUUCUUUUCUAUGCAAAAGAGUUCUAUUGUUAUACAGUUCAUAGUGAAACUUGCAAAACCAAAUGCAUAAUUCCCUUCUUGACGCAGAACCUGAUGUGCUGCAGAGGAGUUACGGUUUCUUUGUAUUCUGCAAGGUUAAUAUCACAUCAUAAUCCAGUAGAAGGCCCUUAAUCUUGUCAUGGAAUUUUUCUCUGUACUGGUUGAAGUGCAUAAUACUUUCCGGUUCUUCUUCAAACCAAAACUUAUCAAACUCAUAAACCAGAUAACAGUAAAACUGAUGGAAGUGUUCCAUUUGUGGCAAUCCAGGGACCAUGUUGUACAGGUGAGACUUUAAAGCACCAUUCUUAAGUAAGCUGUACGCCAUUUCAGUCAGAUUAAUUCCAACUAUUGCAUAAGAGUAUCCCAGUUUUGGGUGAUUUGAAUGAGAAAGGAUCUGACGAGCUUCGUUGGUGUAAUGCUUACUAAAAUACACCAGAUUCACUAAUCCCAGCAGGCCCAUCCCUCUGAAGUCUGUUUUGGGGUCAUCGCCUUGGAAGCCAAUGUCACACCACUGCUUCGUGAUUCUGGCCUUCAGAUUUUCGUGAGGCAUCAGCAAAUUCCAGAGCUCAAUUAACUGUUCCUCGUGUUCUUCGUUAUCUGAAUCAUAUGUGACUUUCCUCAGAUUUUCCACAUCCAAGUAAAGUUUUUUAUAACCUGUUAUCUGCAGUAAGGACAUAUGCAGAUUUGUCUUAAACCUGAUAUCCUUCUGUUCAAUUUUCUUUUCUUUCAUUACAUCUCUGACACACUUCUCUAUUUCGGUUUCAUCAGCAUUUAGGGCAUUUCUUAGAACCUUGCUUUUUGAUGAUCCCAGUGAACGUUCUAUGCCCAGCGUCCUCCGCGCGCCCUCCUUCGCGCCCUCAAAGACGCGCUGCAGCUCGCACUUCCCCGUCAGCAGCCGCCAGAGCCACUUCAGCCAGAACCGGAAGUAGCUGCUGUACAGGAACCCCCACAAGUGCACCAACAUCUCUGCCCGCGGGGAUCUCCCCUCACCGCGGAGCUGCCGGCGCCCCUCAGCCCCGCGGGCCGGCAGCGCUCGGCGCCCCGCAGCCUCCCGCCGGAAGCCGCCCGUCGCCUUCCUGACCUGGAAGUGAUGCCGGGAAGGGGGGGACGGAAGUGCCGGCUGCGGGGCCGCCGGGAGCGGCGGCGGGGAGGGAAGGGCAGGGCCGUUCCCGACGCCGUUGCCGUGUGUUGCGGACCCCGCGUGGCCGCGCGCCGGCCUCUCAGUCACGGGCUGGCACAGUGUGUCCCUCAGAGCCGACCUGCGCCAGGACAGGUGGCCGCCUCAGCCCCAGUCCGGCACCAGCGCUCACCUUCACCGCACUCCUGGUGCCUCACUGCGUGCGUUUAAUGGCUGCUUGCUGAAGUCUGUACGCAGCCGUGUGCUUGGAGAUGUGCCCCCCUCGCUGCGACCGAAGGGAAAUGUGAUCAGAAAGGAGAUGUGAAUUGGUCUGGGCUACCUGCUUGCAGGGAGGGCCUCUGCGCCGUGCCCCUCACUACAACACACUGAGGCCCUGGAGUGUGUCCAGAGAAGGGCAACAGAACUGUGAGGGGUCUGGAGCACAAGUCUGUGGGGAGCGGCUGAGGGAACUGGGAUUGAUCAGUGUGGAGUAGAGGGGGCUCAGAGGUGACCCUAUUGCUCUCUACAACUGCUUGAAAGGAGGUUGUGGCGAGAUGGGGGUCAGCCUCUUUUCUCAGGUGACAGCCAUAGGAUGAGGGGCGGUGGUCCCAAGUUGCACCAUGGGAGCUUCAGGCUGGAUGGUAGGAAAAACUUACUAGGAAGGGUGGUCGGGCACUGGAAUGGCCUGCCCAGGGAGGCGGUGCAGUCGCCAUCCCUGGAGGCAUUCAAGACACAUGGAUGUGGCACUGAGGGACAUGGUUAGUGGGCAUGGUGGGGACGGGCUGAUGAUUGGACUAGAUGAUCUUAGAGGUCUUUCCCAACCUGAUUCUGUGGAGCCUUCUUUGCCACAGGUUCGGCCCAGGUGUUUGGUUUAGUACUGGUAGGCACCUCCAUUGUAUUAUUGUGAAUGGUUAUUUUAGUAAACAUGGGUUGAACCUUCAAGACCAGCGGAAAGAAUUCCUGUUCCUCUAAAUUGUAUGCAAAAUUUGAUUGGAGAGCAAAACGGGAGCCGACAUACUUGCUUGGCCACAUUCUGAUAUGUUUCUAAAUGGCUGGAAAUAGAAGCACCUUUUGCACAGAAUCAGAAGCCACAUGGCAGGUCCGGUGGCCUGCAUCCCAAGGGUGGUUCCAGGGGUGGACCAACACAUUUGCCAUUGGCCCUUUGUAUUUUUGCUGUCACAGGGAUGCGGAGUUUCGUGUGGGGGAAUCACUGACAGGUCAGCUUCAGUUGUUUGAUUUCAAUCCUGAUUGCCUCUCUAUGGGGAGAGCUCCCUAGAUACAAGGAAAAAAUCUUUUAGAGUGAGGGUGGUGAGGCAGUGAGGUUACCUAGUGUUGUGGUUGAUGUCCUGUCCCUGGAGGCUUUCAAGGCGAGCCUGGAUAAGGCCCUGGGCAACCUGAUCUAGCUGUGGUGUCCCUGUUCACUGCAGGGGAGUUGGACUAGAUGGCCUUUGGAGUUCUCUUUUAACUCUAAGGAUUCUAUGGUUCUAUGAGAGGUGGUGUAUCUUAAGAGAUAGCAGGUGGUCAUUCAUUUUUUCCAGCGUGGCUUCUUAAAUGAGUCAUUUGACUCUUAAAACACUGGAGUGCUACAGGAUAAAAAUAAACUAGAAAGUAUUUCUCUUAUUUGGUGAUAGGAGGGUGUGAUGGUUGUGUCAGAACGAUCUUGGCUUCAGCAGCAGUGCUGUAUUACAGUUUGGGAAGACGGAGGAGUCGCAGCGACGUGAAGAAAUGCGGAGGUGUGUGAAAAUAGCACUGAAAAUGCAACUUAGAAGAAAAGACGUUCAGUUAAAGCACACGAGGAC